rnacentral:misc_RNA from 1 species
AAGUCGUAACAAGGUUUCCGUAGGUGAACCUGCGGAAGGAUCAUUACAAAUGCGUCACCAGAUGUGUGAUGGCAACAUUGACCCUGUUGAAUGGUGACUAAGGGGGGCGAAUGGCCGCUAACUGGAUUGGCUGGCAUUCGCCCCCUUUCCUUUUAUGGACUAUAUAUGGACAGAGGGGCGCCCAUGUCAUUUAUUGAUGAUGCGCACCCCGUCAUUUCAUUGAAUUGUAACGACGUACAACUUUUAACAAUGGAUCUCUUGGCUCUU